rnacentral:rRNA from 1 species
CCCUUAGAUGUUCUGGGCCGCACGCGUGCUACACUGGUGAAUACAGCGAGUGUCCAUUCCCUUGACCGAAAGGUCUGGGUAAUCUUAUGAAAGUUCAUCGUGACAGGGAUUGAUCAUUGCAAUUAUUGAUCAUGAACGAGGAAUUCCUAGUAAAGGCGAGUCAUCAUCUCGCUUUGAUUACGUCCCUGCCCUUUGUACACACCGCCCGUCGCUACUACCGAUUGAAUGGUUUAGUGAGAUCUCCUGAUUGGCGGCCUUGGUACCUUCACGGGUCCAACGGUUCUGCCGAGAAGCUGCUCGAACUUGAUCAUUUAGAGGAAGUAAAAGUCGUAACA